rnacentral:lncRNA from 10 species
GUGAAAGGUAAUGUGUGUGUUCUAUGCGUCUAACAAUUCAUUGUCUAGUUAGAGUUGCUAUUGUACUGGGCGGUGAGAGGGAUGAUAAGUGAUAAUGUAAGGCGGCUCCAUCACACAUGCUGGGGACUCCUGUGGAACAGACCAGCAGCUGCAUUUGGAGAUUCAUUUUCGAUUGUCGCGUUUCCUCUUAGAGCUUUGCCUGGUCAUCGUGAUCUGAGUGGUCCGUUGGCCUCCGUGUCCCUUUUGUGGUGGACAUUUGCUCAGUGACUUUUGAGCAGCUGGAUCUCCUGCUGCGGCAGGUGAGGGAGGGGAUGGACGGCUCUGCGGACUGGCCCCCGCCCCAGGAGAAAGAGUGCGUGGCCGUGGCAACGCGGAAGCUUCUACGACUUCAGGUCUGGGCAGCGUCCUCCUGAACAGCCUGAAGCAGACGGUGGUGACCCUGGCCAGCAGCGCGGGCGUGCUGAGCACCAUGCAGUCGGCCGCCCAGGCCGUACUGCAGAGCGGCUUGUCCGAGCUGCUGCCCAGCGCCGAGGAGCGGGCCCGGGCACUCUCUGCUCCCCUGCCCUGUGUAGUUUCAGGCAAUGACGUGAACAUAAGUCGAGGUUGUCAAUUCAUGAGUGAUCUUCUGGUGGGCAGCUUGGUGGCUGCUGGAGGGUUGGAGUCAGCCUUAUGCGCAGCCAUUACUGCAGAGAUCCAGGAUAUUGAAGCCAAAAAAGAAGCACAGAAGGAAAAAGAAGUUGAUGAACAGGAAGCGAAUGCCUCAACAUUUCAUAGAAGCAGGACGCCAUUGGAUAAAGACCUUCUUAAUACGGGAAUCUGUGAGUCUUCUGGCAAACGGUGUUUACCUCUGGUUCAGCUCGUACAACAGCUUCUUAGACCUGGGUUGAAGUAA